ACUAAAAACACAGGUGUUAAAACAUUGCUUCUGCAGCGCCUUCUCCUAUCCUUUCUCCUGAUUUCUUCAUGACUCAUCACUUUCACAAGGUGGAAUUUGAAAAGUCCAUUACAAAUAAACCUUACUUGCACCCUAAUCGUAACACAGAUACGUUCACUAUUAUUUUUCUUCAAGGUUUUUAAACAGUUUCUAUGUUUAUUUUCUGUAAAGCGUCUGUGUAAGUGGGAAAGAUGGUCGGAAAGGGUGGGAAGGGUCUAUUGGCCGGAAAAACUCCGGCGGGUGCAACAACAAACAAGGGUAAAGAUAAGAAGACUCCGGUUUCCCCAUCUGCUGAUUUCCCCAUUGACCGAUUCGUGAAUACUGAAGAUGACACACUCACACUGGUCGACAGGAAGUCAGGAAGUAUUGAAGCCAGAUCUUGACGCAAGCAAUGUAAUGCUUUAAUGGUUUGAAUGAUUUUCUAUUUGCCGAUUUCUCGAUUUUCCGUUUUCACUACACAUCAGGGGUUGUUGUUGUUGGGUGCUCUGCAGAAUCGCUUCUUCAAAGAAUUUAGAUUGAAAGCCACAAAUUAUGGUAGCUUGAAAUACGGUUAAAAGAGGAAAAACCAUACUCAAUCUUACGGAUAUUGUUGAUGUUGUACUCUUAGAAUGACCUCGUAAUGGAAUAUUUGUAUAAGAGACUUUGUUGUUAUAGUAGAUGUUUUCAUCAUGCA